CCUACGGGGGGCAGCAGUGGGGAAUAUUGCACAAUGGGGGAAACCCUGAUGCAGCAACGCCGCGUGAAGGAAGACGGUUUUCGGAUUGUAAACUUCUGUUCUUAGUGAAGAAUAAUGACGGUAGCUAAGGAGCAAGCCACGGCUAACUACGUGCCAGCAGCCGCGGUAAUACGGAGGUGGCAAGCGUUGUCCGGAAUUACUGGGUGGAAAGGGAGCGCAGGCGGGAAGCCAAGUCAGCUGUGAAAACUAUGGGCUUAACUUGUAGACUGCAGUUGAAACUGGUUUUCUGGAGGGAAGUAGAGGUUGGCGGAAUUCCGGGUGUAGCGGUGAAAUGCGUAGAUAUGCGGAGGAACACCGGUGGCGAAGGCGGCCAACUAGGCUUUAACUGACGCUGAGGCUCGAAAGUGUGGGGAGCAAACAGGAUUAGAUACCCCUGUAGUC
rnacentral:rRNA from 1 species